UACCGUACUUGGCUGAGCGCUAGUAACCGCGGCAACGAGAGCGAACAAGAGUCUUGAAGCGGCGGUUGGGAGCGAGUGGCCGUUGGGAGUGGAGGCGGGACCUUGAGAAGAGCGUCUGCGCGAGGCCGUUGGAAGAGGCUCUCGUCGCGCCUCAGAGGCGACAUCUCGGCCGGCCGCCGCCUCCCUUUUUCUCGAUCCUAAUGUCUUCAGAUGAAUUUAAGGCUCUGUCACAAGAUGAACUCCGGAGAAGACUAUAUCAGACAUUUAAGAACCGAGGUGUUUUGGAUGCACUUAAGACACAGCUUCGAAACCAGCUCAUACAUGAUCUAAUGAAUCCCAUUUUAAGUGGAAAAAUUCAGCCACAAGCUGUUUCUAGUGAAUGCAGUUCAUUGUUAAUUGGUGCUUCUAACAGUCUGGUGGCAGAUCACCUGCGUAGAUGUGGCUAUGAAUAUUCACUGUCUGUCUUCUAUCCAGAAAGUGGAUUAGAAAAGGAUAAGGCACUCACCAUGCAAGAUUUACUACAGCUGAUGAGGAUCAAUCCAAAGACUGAUAUUUACAAAGCGCUGAUUUCAGCUUCAGAAAAAGAGAAUACAAAAGGCUUUCUUGUACAGAUAUUAACUGAACUGAUAGACCAUAGCCUGCAUAAGCAGAUCUGUAGCACAGAAACUCAGACCAGUCCCACACCUGGUAAAGAAUCUCUUGCUGAGAAACUUCAACUGAUUGAUGAACAGUUUGCAGACAUGUAUCCUCAGUGCCACAAAUCUGGGUCGUUUGAAGUAAAACUUGUUGAAUAUAGAAAAGAAGUAGAACAGCAGCUUCAAGAGGAAAUGUCUCAGAAGUUGCGACACUUCAAAGAGGUUGAAAUAGCCAAAAUUAAGAUGGACGAGAGAGCACAAUCCCAGAAAGAGAUUUCAGAGCUUCGUAGAGAAUUUGAAAAAGUUCACAGAGCCAAGUCAGAGGCUCUGAGCUCUCGAGAAAGAAAUGCUAUUGAGAGGCUUCAGAAGCAGCAAGAGAUUGAUGCAAGGGAAAUUUAUCUGCAAAGGCAAAGCCUGCUGAAAGAUAUUGAAACAGUAAGAUCCCGAGAGGUAGAACUGAAGCAGAGAAUAGAAGCUUUUGAACUAGCUCAAAACCUUCAAGAAUCAAAAAAUAAAACUGUAGAAGAUGCACUUCGUCAUCGAGAGGUAACUGUGAAGAACAUUGAAGAGACUUACGACCAGAAGCUAAAGAACGAACUCCUAAAGUAUCAGCUUGAACUAAAUGAAGAAUACUUAGCUAGAACCAAGAAAAUUACUGAAGAUGAGAAAAAAAUUAAAGAUAAAGCUAUGCUUUUGCAUGAAGAGACCAUUUCUCUUAAUUCAAAAAAGCAAGAAUUCGAACAUGCUGUAUCACAUUCAAAAGAGCUUGAGCUGGAAAUAGAUUCAGUCAAGGCUCAAGUUUUAUUAUUAAGCAAGCAAAAUCAGUUGAUGACAAAAAAACUGGAAGAAGUUUCAGAUUAUCCAACACUAAAAGAAGAGAAAAUGGAACUUCAGGUGCAGAAUAAGCUACUCAAACAACAGUUGGAAGAGGCGCACAAUGAAAACUUGGAACUCCGAGACAAGUUGAGUCGGCCAUCAGCUGAAUAUUUGGUCCUUGAGGCAGAGCUGAAAAGAGCAAAACAUGCUAGGAAGCUUGAAGGUGAAGAAUCUGACACUCAUAAGCAGCUCUUGGAAAAACAGUUACAAAAUGAGAUUGAACAUUGUGUACAGUUGAAGACUCAGUUGUUGGAAUGUGAAAAUACUAUCAGGAAGUUAAAUGCACAAAUGGAAGACCUUAAGUUACAACUGAAACAGACACAGACAGCAUUAGAGAAUGAAGUGUAUCGGAAUCCAAAGCCCUCUUUGGUUGAUCAUUCUGUCAUUGACUUGUUUGGUGACAAGACUGUACCUCCUGAUAUUUAUAUAGAUGGUGCUUUCCUGAAAACACAGCCAAUGGCUGAUAUUAUUGGAAUGGGAAAUGGUACAAGCCCCAGACAUCAUCACCACAUACUGAAACCUAAUACUUCACAAGAUUCUGAUUUAGAAUUUGUAGCUAGUACAAAGGCUAGAAUAAAAGAAUUGGAGAGAGAAGCUGAAUAUUUAGAAGAGGCCUACAGGAAUUACCAAUACAGAGCCAUUCAAACCACAGCUGGCCCAGCAAAAACCACAUUCUCUUCACCUAUGGCAAGUAACUUUACCAUGGCAUCUCGCCAAAGACUUUGGUUUGCACAGGAUGAUCUAUAUUCACAAGAAUUACCCUUUCACUGCCAAAAAAGUAAAAACUAUAGAUGGACACCAGGAAAUGGGGAUCACUUGAAAGAUCAUCUAACCCCUCCACGGAAGAAGUCUACUUCUAGACGUCUGUCUUCUACUCCUGUUUCCAAAGCAAAGAGAAAUAUUAGUAGCAGGCUGUUUUCUGAAGAUACAGUUGCCUCAUCUUUUGCUGCCCCUCAUCAGAAUGCAGACCAACCUCUCUCCCCCAUUCAAAGAACAGGCAACCUUUCAUCUCCUGAACAUGCUUCUAAUUUAUCAGUUUCUUCUUCCCCAGCUUCCUGCAAACAAAAGCUAAGUCUUCAUCAAGAACAAGGUGAAAUUCAGGGUGUUAGUGACACUGCAAAACCUGAGAAGCUCCUGUAUAAAAACCUUGGAAAUGAUGACUCCGACCUUGGAAAUGAUGAGUCUGCCAGUAAAUAUCAAGAGGACAUUCCAGAACAGCUCGAAAGCGAUGCGUCACAUCCAUCUCACAUUGUUAGUGGAAGCCAUGUUCCAGCUACUGUGCCAGCAGCGGGCACUUCACAGCAGGACAUAAGUGGAGCAGAAAUAACAGCCCUGGAGAAACAAAAGCAUCCUGAAGAACAGGAGGAGGAAGAAGAGGAGGAGGAGGAGCGGGAGCAGCAAAAAUGGGAAGAGAGGGAAGGAAAAAGGCAGCAAGAGAGGCAGGACACUUUGGAAAGAGAGCAAGGAGAACUGGAAAAAGCAAAUGAAGAAUUGUGUAUGCAAGAGUCAGUGGAAACCGAGAAAAAGCAUGAAGAUGUGGCAGAUUUGGAAACCAUUAUCUCAAAGUCUGAAGAGCAUGGUGGUGAUGCUAUUCCUAAUCCGCUGGAAAAAUACAUGAAAAUAAUACAGCAGAAUCGGGAGCAGGAGUUUGCAAAUGAGGACUUCAAGAAAGAAGCUGAAAUAUUGUCUGAGAAACUCUCAGGUAGUGGAAAGGAGGACAGUUUUAGUGCUGCAGCCACUCUUCAUGGAGAGCCUGAUGAUGAUUUCUGGUGAAUAUCGAUUAGCAGGGGCUACCUGACCAGAGAAAGUGGACUUUUUUAUCAUCAGAGGAAGCACCACAAACUAGGAUGACCUUCCUCUCUAUGUCUGUCGCCUCAAAGUACAAGAGUGACAGCACCCCAGAUUCUAUGAAAAUCAAAGGCUACAGAUGAAGCAAGCUUGUGCAGGAUGCUUUAGAACGGAAUGUGUGUUCUCCACGGACACAUCAAAUUAACACUUCUAUUUUAAGCACAGACAACAAAAAUAAAACUUUGAAACUAAGUGCACUAUACUGUCCUUUCAGACAUCUUUGCAGGGGAAUGGGAGCCAGAAGCCCUCUAGUUAAAAGUCUCAUCUGAGCCACAAAUUCAUUUGACAGCCUUAAAUAAUCCACUCACACUCAGCUUUUAUAAAACUUCAGGCCCCAUUUGACAGCACACUGGUUCACUCAACAUGGAUGUUAAAAAGUUUACUGGUGUGUGAUGUACUCAAAAGGCUCUAUAUAAACGCAGCUGAAAAGUUUGUGCUUUCUCUGAAGAACAUACAGAUAUGUUCAAAUACAGAACAUCCCAAGCUUGUUAAUUGACAUAUAGGGAUGGAGAAUCUGUGGAUGACAGUUCCCAGCACCUCAGGCCACUGGGAAUUGCAUCUGGAGGGCAGCAUCCCUAGGGUAAAUGAAAUGCUACACACAUGCCAUGCUUAGAAGCACCACUGGUGCCCUUCCACUUCAGUAAAUGCCUAAAAGACUAUGGAAAGUGGGUGGCCCUUCAGGAUGAUAUUGUUACUACAAUUUCCACCAUUCCUGACCGGACUUCUGGCUGAGGCUGAUGGGAGCUGGUGUCCAAAAAUAACCCGGGGUAUGUGUCACAGGUUAGCCACUUGAGUCAAAACCCAGCAUGGGAACUAAUUUCGCAGCACAACACUACUCCAGUGGAGGAAUAUGCCUUCAUGACUUCAGAUGCAACUAAAUUAGAAUAAAUAGCUUGAAGAGGAGUUUCAGAUACUGGUGAGGUAAAAAGAAAAGAGGAGAAUCAGUUCAUAUUGGUCUUAGAUGGUUAAAAAUGGCAAAUUCUACAGCAUCACUGAUACAGCAAGCAUGGAAGUGUAUCAUGAGAGUAGAAAAGAAAUAUCCCAAAAGCCCACUUAGUUCCUUAAAUUGCAUAUGGGACACUGUUUCACUGGAGAUUCUAUGCUGCAAACCCUCUGGAUUUAUUUGCAUAUUUUGUUUGCCCUCAGUAUCUGGAAAUAUUUCUGUGUCCUCUAGGGGAUAGUUUUAUAUUCAUUAGUAACAUCAGAACUGCUAAGUCUAGUCCACAGUGUAGUGAAUGUUCAGUUUCAGAUUCCACUCUCAGAUACUAGCUUUGCACAUGCACAAGGAAAAUGGGGCAUGGUGGAAGUUUAAAAUGAUCUGACCUCCCAGGUGCUUUCUGAGAAGACACAGACUGUGCCUCAACCACCCUGCUGUUCUUAUGAACUGCUGUUGUUAACAACAAGCAGUGGCUGAAAAAGCACACAGCCCAAGAUAAAAGGAAUUGGCUUAGAACUUGGAAAACUUGUGAGUCUGCUUCUCCAAAUGCUUACAGUCACUCAUUUGUUCAAGAGAAGAGGAAGCCAUUUUGCUGAUCGCCAUACUAAUAAACUAUCUAGUUGCCCAAGACACCACUUAACCAAAUUAUUAUCCUAGAACUGCUAUGCUACUCUCACUAGAGAUGAUGCCAGAAUAUAUAGUCCCAAGCAUUGCAUUUUGAAAUAGGGUGGCUUGGAACAGUUGUUUCAAAUGCAAGGUAAGCAGUACCUGUUCCACUUACGUGUUUGCCUCCAGCUCCCAUCAGGAAUUCAGGGCAACCAGGGUGCUAGGUGCUGACAAGAGAGAAACAUUCCUCUCUGUGCCAGACCUGUAGCCCCAAUGUGAAUGGGUAUUGGUGGGAGGGGGCAGUCAUGUGUACAAAGGUUGUGUGUGUGUGUGUGUGUCAGAGAAUCAGAGUAUUGGGAGAAAUCUGCUUCAUGUACCAAAGUCUCAGAUUAAAUCCAGAUUGGCUUGGAAUAAGCCAAGUGCCAUCCUGAGUCUAUUUUAUUUAAAUUUUUUAAAAGUUGGCUUAUCCAAGCCAAUUUAAGGAGAACCGGGGAGGCAAGAGAUGCACUCGUAAGUACAACUCUGGUGUAUAUAUUAUUUGCUACCCAAUAAAAUCAAACAUUACAUGUCUUUGUACACAGAAAUUAUUAUAGUUGGGCACAUCCAUAGAGCAAUAAAGUCCAUGCAGCAGUUAAAAAAAAAGUAUUGUAGCACCUUAAAAAGCUAACAAAUGUAUUGUGGCAUAGGUUUUCAUGGUCUGCUUCAUCAGAUGCUUGAAGUGUCAUCUUAAAUUGGCAAGCAUAUAUGCACAUUGGGAGAGAGAUGUCAGCGGAGGAAGGAACAGUCAGGUUCCAUUCCUUUCCCCUUUUCCAUGGGUCUCCUGUCCUCAGUCCACUCUGUUUCAAGUAUGGUAUGCAAAUGUAUAAAACAAAAAUGUUUAUUAUGUAGCUUUUUCAUAUGAAAAAAUGAUUUUAAAAGUAAAAUAUUGUUUGGGUGACUGUCUCUCUAGUUCUGUGUUAUGCCACCCCAUAACAGCU